rnacentral:rRNA from 2 species
UGGGGAAUCUUGCACAAUGGGGGAAACCCAGAUGCAGCGACGCCGCGUGAGCGAUGAAGCCCUUCGGGGUGUAAAGCUCUUUCGGCAGGAACGAUAAUGACGGUACCUGAAGAAGAAGCUGCGGCUAACUACGUGCCAGCAGCCGCGGUAAUACGUAGGCAGCGAGCGUUGUUCGGAGUUACUGGGCGUAAAGAGUAUGUAGGCGGUUUUGCAAGUUUGGUGUGAAAUCUCCCGGCUUAACUGGGAGGGUGCGCCGAAAACUGCAAGGCUAGAGUGUGGGAGAGGAAAGCGGAAUUCCUGGUGUAGCGGUGAAAUGCGUAGAUAUCAGGAGGAACACCGGCGGUGUAGACGGCUUUCUGGACCAUUACUGACGCUGAGAUACGAAAGCGUGGGGAGCAAACAGG